rnacentral:rRNA from 1 species
UACGUAGGGUGCAAGCGUUGUCCGGAAUUAUUGGGCGUAAAGAGCUCGUAGGCGGUGUGUCACGUCGGCCGUGAAAACCUGCAGCUUAACUGUGGGCGUGCGGUCGAUACGGGCAUCACUGGAGUUCGGCAGGGGAGACUGGAAUUCCUGGUGUAGCGGUGAAAUGCGCAGAUAUCAGGGAGGAACACCGGUGGGCGAAGGCGGGUCUCUGGGCCG